rnacentral:lncRNA from 1 species
UCUGAACAGCCUGCGGAUGGCGGAGUCAAAACAUCAGUUCCACACGAGGGUGGUUCCAUCCUCAUCCUCCCUUCUUGCCCCCCCCUCCCCCUUGCCAAGGGGAAGAAGACCGGAAGAGAGGGAAGGCUCUGCAGCUGUAUUUUGGAGCGCGCUCAUCCCGUGUUAUGGCUUUGAAACCAGCAGAGCUGUGAUGAGUUCAACAAGCUGAAUUAGAAACCCAGAGGCACAAAAUGGAACAAACAGGUGAGUGUCACUAAUUCAGGGGAGCUUUAAAGAUAUUUUCCUUUUAGAUUCUCCUGGGCUUGCUUCACC